rnacentral:rRNA from 1 species
GACGAACGCUGGCGGCGUGCUUAACACAUGCAAGUCGAACGAGAGCGUAGAGAAAGCUUGCUUUUUCUACAAUCUAGUGGCAAACGGGUGAGUAACGCGUAAACAACCUGCCCUACGGAUGGGGACAACAGCUGGAAACGGCUGCUAAUACCGAAUACGUUCCGAAAGUCGCAUGACUAUCGGAAGAAAGGAUGGCCUCUAUUUAUAAGCUAUCGCCGGAGGAGGGGUUUGCGUCUGAUUAGCUAGUUGGAGGGGUAACGGCCCACCAAGGCGACGAUCAGUAGCCGGUCUGAGAGGAUGAACGGCCACAUUGGAACUGAGACACGGUCCAGACUCCUACGGGAGGCAGCAGUGGGGAAUCUUCCGCAAUGGGCGAAAGCCUGACGGAGCAACGCCGCGUGAGUGAAGACGGCCUUCGGGUUGUAAAGCUCUGUUAUACGGGACGAAUAAUCUUGUGGUUAAUACCCAUGAGAAGUGACGGUACCGUAAGAGAAAGUCACGGCUAACUACGUG